UGGGCGAAAGCUGAUGCAGCAACGCCGCGUGAGUGAUGAAGGCCUUCGGAUUGUAAAGCUCUGUCUUUGGGGACGAUAAUGACGGUACCCAAGGAGGAAGCCACGGCUAACUACGUGCCAGCAGCCGCGGUAAUACA
rnacentral:rRNA from 1 species